rnacentral:piRNA from 1 species
UGACAUGGAGCUGAGUGACUUACAUGA